GCGAUGAAGGACGUGCUAAUCUGCGAUAAGCGUCGGUAAGGUGAUAUGAACCGUUAUAACCGGCGAUUUCCGAAUGGGGAAACCCAGUGUGAUUCGUCACACUAUCAUUAACUGAAUCCAUAGGUUAAUGAGGCGAACCGGGGGAACUGAAACAUCUAAGUACCCCGAGGAAAAGAAAUCAACCGAGAUUCCCCCAGUAGCGGCGAGCGAACGGGGAGCAGCCCAGAGCCUGAAUCAGUGUGUGUGUUAGUGGAAGCGUCUGGAAAGGCGCGCGAUACAGGGUGACAGCCCCGUACACAAAAAUGCACAUGCUGUGAGCUCGAUGAGUAGGGCGGGACACGUGGUAUCCUGUCUGAAUAUGGGGGGACCAUCCUCCAAGGCUAAAUACUCCUGACUGACCGAUAGUGAACCAGUACCGUGAGGGAAAGGCGAAAAGAACCCCGGCGAGGGGAGUGAAAAAGAACCUGAAACCGUGUACGUACAAGCAGUGGGAGCACGCUUAGGCGUGUGACUGCGUACCUUUUGUAUAAUGGGUCAGCGACUUAUAUUCUGUAGCAAGGUUAACCGAAUAGGGGAGCCGAAGGGAAACCGAGUCUUAACUGGGCGUUAAGUUGCAGGGUAUAGACCCGAAACCCGGUGAUCUAGCCAUGGGCAGGUUGAAGGUUGGGUAACACUAACUGGAGGACCGAACCGACUAAUGUUGAAAAAUUAGCGGAUGACUUGUGGCUGGGGGUGAAAGGCCAAUCAAACCGGGAGAUAGCUGGUUCUCCCCGAAAGCUAUUUAGGUAGCGCCUCGUGAAUUCAUCUCCGGGGGUAGAGCACUGUUUCGGCAAGGGGGUCAUCCCGACUUACCAACCCGAUGCAAACUGCGAAUACCGGAGAAUGUUAUCACGGGAGACACACGGCGGGUGCUAACGUCCGUCGUGAAGAGGGAAACAACCCAGACCGCCAGCUAAGGUCCCAAAGUCAUGGUUAAGUGGGAAACGAUGUGGGAAGGCCCAGACAGCCAGGAUGUUGGCUUAGAAGCAGCCAUCAUUUAAAGAAAGCGUAAUAGCUCACUGGUCGAGUCGGCCUGCGCGGAAGAUGUAACGGGGCUAAACCAUGCAC
rnacentral:rRNA from 1 species